AUGACAAAACUACAACAACAAAAUUCCAACAACAACCACAACAUUGACUCCAACUACAAUGACAAAAAUUCCAACAACAACCACCACAUUGACUCGAACUACAACAACAAAAGUUACAACAACCACAACAUUGACUCCAACUACAAUGACAAAAGUUCCAACAACAACCACCACAUUGACUCCAACUACAACGACAAAAGUUCCAACAACAACCACCACAUUGACUCCAACUACAACAACAAAAGUUCCAACAACAACCGCCACAUUGACUCCAACUACAACGACAAACGUUCCAACAACAACAAUCACAUUGACUCCAACCACAAAAGUUCCAACAACAACCACCACAUUGACUCCAACUACAACGACAAAAAUUCCAACAACAACCACCACAGUGACUCCAACUACAACGACAAAAGUUCCAACAACAACCACCACAUUGACUCCAACUACAAAAAUUCCAACAACAACCACCACAUGGACUCCAGCUACAACAACAGGAGUUCCAACAACAACCACCACAUUGACUCCAACUACAAAAGUUACAACAACCACCACCACACUGACUCCAACUACAAUGACAAAAGUUCAAACAACAACCACCACAUUGACUCCAACUACAAAGCCAAAAAUUCCACCAACAAACAGAAUGAAUCCAACCACAUCUCUAGAAGUUCCACCACCAGGUACCCCAUCAGCCUCAGGUGGUGCGCUGGUGCUGUAAAAAGUCAGGAAAGAAUCUGUCAGAGGAUCCUUACGUUUCUGAAAAAAAGAGCACCCCGAACAUGGAUUCUUUCCCAACACAAGUACCCCAAACCCCUAUAGGAGAGCCACUCAAUGUCAAUACCUUUCAGGCCAUUACUGACCCACAGAAGAAGAAUAAAACAGGCAUGUACGUAGUGAACCCCUGAACAGGAAGAUGUGGUGGCAACAUACAGGCAUCUCCAGUCAGCUGGGCUACAGAUUGAGCAAUUGAAGCCAAGUAGAAGCCAUUGUACACUCACCUAAAGGAUUAUUAAGAACACCAUACUAAUACUGUGUUUG